UGCAGUCGAGCGGUAGCACAGAGAGCUUGCUCUCGGGUGACGAGCGGCGGACGGGUGAGUAAUGUCUGGGAAACUGCCUGAUGGAGGGGGAUAACUACUGGAAACGGUAGCUAAUACCGCAUAACGUCGCAAGACCAAAGUGGGGGACCUUCGGGCCUCAUGCCAUCAGAUGUGCCCAGAUGGGAUUAGCUAGUAGGUGGGGUAACGGCUCACCUAGGCGACGAUCCCUAGCUGGUCUGAGAGGAUGACCAGCCACACUGGAACUGAGACACGGUCCAGACUCCUACGGGAGGCAGCAGUGGGGAAUAUUGCACAAUGGGCGCAAGCCUGAUGCAGCCAUGCCGCGUGUGUGAAGAAGGCCUUCGGGUUGUAAAGCACUUUCAGCGGGGAGGAAGGCGGUGAGGUUAAUAACCUCAUCGAUUGACGUUACCCGCAGAAGAAGCACCGGCUAACUCCGUGCCAGCAGCCGCGGUAAUACGGAGGGUGCAAGCGUUAAUCGGAAUUACUGGGCGUAAAGCGCACGCAGGCGGUCUGUCAAGUCGGAUGUGAAAUCCCCGGGCUCAACCUGGGAACUGCAUUCGAAACUGGCAGGCUAGAGUCUUGUAGAGGGGGGUAGAAUUCCAGGUGUAGCGGUGAAAUGCGUAGAGAUCUGGAGGAAUACCGGUGGCGAAGGCGGCCCCCUGGACAAAGACUGACGCUCAGGUGCGAAAGCGUGGGGAGCAAACAGGAUUAGAUACCCUGGUAGUCCACGCCGUAAACGAUGUCGAUUUGGAGGUUGUGCCCUUGAGGCGUGGCUUCCGGAGCUAACGCGUUAAAUCGACCGCCUGGGGAGUACGGCCGCAAGGUUAAAACUCAAAUGAAUUGACGGGGGCCCGCACAAGCGGUGGAGCAUGUGGUUUAAUUCGAUGCAACGCGAAGAACCUUACCUGGUCUUGACUCCCACAGACUUUCCAAAGAUGGAUUGGUGCCUUCGGGAACUGUGAAACAGGUGCUGCAUGGCUGUCGUCACCUCGGGU
rnacentral:rRNA from 1 species